rnacentral:tRNA from 1 species
GGAGGAGUGGCAGAGUGGUCGAAUGCGGCGGUCUUGAAAACCGUUGACCUUUAACGAGGUCCGUGGGUUCGAAUCCUACCUCCUCCGCCA